CUUCUUCCCUCCCCGACCUUCUGAAGGAGCAACUUUUAUUCAAUGUCGGCCUGAGCCCUCUCAACCCUGCUGGUAUUUUUUCUUUCUCAAGUCAUUCGUGGCUUCUUCUUUCUCUUAUUCUGUUUCUAAGCUGUGCCGAUCUUUUUUUAUUGCGGACAUGGAUGCAGACACAGCUCAGGUACUAGCCAAGGAUCUCAAGGCCCAUA
rnacentral:lncRNA from 1 species